rnacentral:rRNA from 1 species
AUUGAACGCUGGCGGCAGGCCUAACACAUGCAAGUCGAGCGGGGUUUUCGGACCUAGCGGCGGACGGGUGAGUAAUGCGUAGGAAGCUGCCCGAUAGAGGGGGAUACCAGUUGGAAACGACAGUUAAUACCGCAUAAUGUCUACGGACCAAAGUGUGGGACCUUCGGGCCACAUGCUAUCGGAUGCGCCUACGUGGGAUUAGCUAGUUGGUGAGGUAAUGGCUCACCAAGGCGACGAUCUCUAGCUGGUUUGAGAGGAUGAUCAGCCACACUGGAACUGAGACACGGUCCAGACGCCUACGGGAGGCAGCAGUGGGGAAUAUUGGACAAUGGGCGCAGGCCUGAUCCAGCCAUGCCGCGUGUGUGAAGAAGGCCUUCGGGUUGUAAAGCACUUUCAGCGAGGAGGAAGGGUGGUGUGUUAAUAGCACAUCAUUUUGACGUUACUCGCAGAAGAAGCACCGGCUAACUCUGUGCCAGCCGCCGCCGUAAAAC